CUAAAUCAUUAGUUGUACUCUGCCAAGUUUGUUUUCGGUUGGCAGUCUAAUGAGUCUACAUACAGACUUUAAAGUGAUACUAUUUUGACUGGCAGCCAUGCUACUAGGAUGCUUUUACAGUGUGUCCUGGAUUUGUGUCCUGUUUGGAGUCAGAACAGUUCACCCAGACACAAUAGUUACAGAUUUUAUCAAUGAGCCCUUGCCUUAUGGAAGCCUGUUGGAUGUCACUGGCUCUGACUCUGCAUACAGUAACUAUCAGUCUAAAGGAGGAAGUCGAGCGCCCAGUUCUGUACUAGUGGGACAGGGACCACCUAAAGGCAGACAGCAACAUGUUGACAACGC